UUUCAUAUUAUUAGAGAUAAGCUAAUUAAUCUUGUCACUAGGUGAAAUCAUAUGAGCAUAUAGAAAACAGAAACACACUGAAAUCUCAAACUAAUAAACACAUAGGAUUGAAUAGGGUAGUAAACAGUAAAGCAUGCUAGUUGAGAAAGCAGUAAUAGAAGAACAUGCUGAGGUUGAAAUAAGCUAUAAAAUAGAAUGACAUAACAGGAACUGAAACAUGCUAGUUGAGAAAUG
rnacentral:lncRNA from 1 species